GAUGAACGCUAGCGACAGGCCUAACACAUGCAAGUCGAGGGGCAGCACAUGAGUAGCAAUACGAUGGUGGCGACCGGCGCACGGGUGAGUAACACGUAUGCAACCUACCUGUAAGAGGGGAAUAACCCGGAGAAAUUCGGACUAAUACCGCAUAAUACCGCUGAACUGCAUGGUUUAGUGGUUAAACAUUUAUGGCUUACAGAUGGGCGUGCGUAUGAUUAGCUAGUUGGUGAGGUAACGGCUCACCAAGGCAACGAUCAUUAGGGGUUCUGAGAGGAAGGUCCCCCACACUGGUACUGAGACACGGACCAGACUCCUACGGGAGGCAGCAGUGAGGAAUAUUGGUCAAUGGGCGAGAGCCUGAACCAGCCAAGUCGCGUGAAGGAAGAAGGUUCUAUGGAUUGUAAACUUCUUUUGUAAGGGAAUAAAAAAGAGUACGUGUACUCUAUUGUAUGUACUUUACGAAUAAGGAUCGGCUAACUCCGUGCCAGCCGCCGCGGUAAUAC
rnacentral:rRNA from 1 species